CCCUUAGAUGUUCUGGGCCGCACGCGCGCUACACUGAUUCAUGCAACAAGUUUUGUCCUUGGCUGAUAGGCCUGGGUAAUCUUUGAACGUGAAUCGUGAUGGGGAUAGAUGAUUGCAAUUAUUCAUCUUCAACGAGGAAUUCCUAGUAAACGCAAGUCAUCAGCUUGCAUUGAUUACGUCCCUGCCCUUUGUACACACCGCCCGUAGCACCUACCGAUUGAAUGGUCCGGUGAAAUCUUCGGAUCUGAGAGAUGUCUGAUUAAUUUCGGACGCCUUUUGGAAAAGUUGUUUAAACCUUACCAUUUAGAGGAAGGUGAAGUCGUAACA
rnacentral:rRNA from 1 species